CCUCUUUUGACUUCUUUUUUUUUUUCUUUCCUUCUUUUGGAGACUAAGUGUCACUAUGAGGGUUAGAAUGCCUUGAGCUUCUGGACUCAGGCGAUUCUCCUGUACCAGCUUCCAAGGGCUGGGACAACAUAUCAGAAGCUGAGAUCUCCUGAGCACACACACUGGCAGAGCAGGCUCCUUGACCCUGACCAUGCUUCCCAUGGACUCCUGGCCACACUCUCCUCACAGUGUCCUGCUGCUGACCCUGCUGCUGGGACUUACAGGAAUAGUGCUCCCUCAAGAUCCAGCUGUACCACUCCUAGGCAUAUAUCCAAAAGAUGCUCAAGGACACAACAAGGACAUUUGUUCAACCAUGUUUGUAGCAGCUUUAUUCGUAAUAGCCAGAACAUCCGUCCAUCAAUGGAGGAAUGGUUGCAGAAAUUGUGGUAGUUUUACACAAUGGAAUACUACUCAGCAACUGAUUGUUUAGAAGAUAAGGUCUAACAGGGGAGAAGGUCAUGGGAAAUGGGAGGAGGCAUGCUUUUGAGGGCAGCAUGUAGCCUACAUCCUCGGAACCUGCCAGAGAGGGCCUCUGAAUGUCCCUGCCGUGCCGACUGUCAAAGCAGAUGCUGAGCCUGAUGGCCAACUGUCGGACAGAGUGAAUAGAAUUUUAUGUAAGAAGUGGGAAAUAGUAAGAGCUGGAGAGGACAGGAACUCCACAAGGAGAGCAACAGAACCAGAAAAUUUGAACACAGGGAACUUCCCAGAGACUCAUACUCCAACCAAGGAAUAUUCAUGGAGAUAACCUAGAACCCUGACAAUGCAGCCACUUCUGAUGAGAACUGAUAGACUAAGAUCAGAAAGAAGGAGAGGAGGACCUCCCCUAUCAGUGGACUUGGGGAGGGGCAUGCAUGCAGAAAGGGGAGGGGAGGGUGAGGCUGGGAGGGGAGGAGAGAGGGGCUUAUGGGAGGAUACAAAAUGAAUAAAGUGUAAUUAAAAAAAGUUAAAUAAAAAAUUAAAAAAAAACUAUGUAAAGUCUCUGAAAAAAGAGCGAUGAGAUACAACCAGGAUUUAAAGUAAAUAAUUAUAAAGAAAGAUGUAUUUGGAAGAAGCAGAGAGGUCACUCUAUUUAACUUAGUUUCUCAACACAUUCUGGUAGCUAAAAUAGGAGCUAGUAGAAGCUGUAGAGAGAGUUCUUGGGAGAUGCUGUGGCAAGUGCAGAAAGGCAGGGGAGUUAAGCCAUGC